GAAAAUGGACGUCACACUUAACUUAGAUAAAAAAAAAAUAAAAAAAAUAACAAAGAUCAGAGUGAGCUUGUCUUGGGACAGGCGCAAAAAUACGGCGGGCUAAACAUGCUUUGUGAGAUCUCAACCCUCCCGCUAUACAACUAUAUCUAGCUCAUGUAGAAUAAACAAACACACAACAAUAUGCACAGAAAAACUCAGUUUAAAAGAAAUCCGAGUCCGAUGACAAAAUAGUAAACAAAAGAAACUACACAAAAUGAAUAUGAUUCAUAAAUUAACAAAGAACUACUAGCAGUAACUGACAUGCCAGCUCCAGACCCCAAUUAAACAUAUCGAAAUAAUAUAUAGAUAUAAGAAGAUGUGGUAUGAGUGCCAAUGAGACAACUCUCCA
rnacentral:lncRNA from 1 species